AGUCGAACGGGAAAUACUUUAUUGAAACUUCGGUGGAUUAAUUUAUUUCUAGUGGCGGACGGGUGAGUAACGCGUGGGUAACCUGCCUUAUACCGGGGGAUAACAGCCAGAAAUGGCUGCUAAUACCGCAUAAGCGCACAGAACCGCAUGGUUUGGUGUGAAAAACUCCGGUGGUAUAAGAUGGACCCGCGUUGGAUUAGCUAGUUGGCAGGGCAGCGGCCUACCAAGGCGACGAUCCAUAGCCGGCCUGAGAGGGUGAACGGCCACAUUGGGACUGAGACACGGCCCAGACUCCUACGGGAGGCAGCAGUGGGGAAUAUUGCACAAUGGGGGAAACCCUGAUGCAGCGACGCCGCGUGGAGGAAGAAGUAUCUCGGUAUGUAAACUUCUAUCAGCAGGGAAGAUAAUGACGGUACCUGACUAAGAAGCCCCGGCUAACUACGUGCCAGCAGCCGCGGUAAUACGUAGGGGGCAAGCGUUAUCCGGAUUUACUGGGUGUAAAGGGAGCGUAGACGGCGCAGCAAGUCUGAUGUGAAAGGCAGGGGCUUAACCCCUGGACUGCAUUGGAAACUGCUGUGCUUGAGUGCCGGAGGGGUAAGCGGAAUUCCUAGUGUAGCGGUGAAAUGCGUAGAUAUUAGGAGGAACACCAGUGGCGAAGGCG
rnacentral:rRNA from 1 species